UCGCUCCUACCGAUUUCGAGUGAUCCGGUGAACCUUUUGGACCGCUGGUGCCUCGUGUGCUAGCGGGAAAUCAAGUAAACCAUAUUACUUAGAGGAAGGAG
rnacentral:rRNA from 1 species